GCGAUACCGCGAGGUGGAGCUAAUCUCAAUAAGCGGUCUCAGUUCGGAUUGGAGUCUGCAACUCGACUCCAUGAAGUUGGAAUCGCUAGUAAUCGCGGAUCAGCAUGCCGCGGUGAAUACGUUCCCGGGCCUU
rnacentral:rRNA from 1 species